UGGGUGGGGGUCUAUCGGAGAGGGCCGUGGCUCAGCAUCAGGCGCGCAUCCUAAGGCAGGGCGGGCGGGGCCUCCCGAAGAGAAAGCGCGGGUCCUGGGGCGGGGCCUUUAGAAGAGAGCGCGGCUGAGCUCGGGUCGAGGCGGGGCCGGCCGCGCGUACUUAAGCAGUCUUGGCGCUUGCGGACGCCCCGCCAUGGCUCUGAGGUGCAUCGUUUCUGUGCUGCGCUUCGGCACUCCCCGCGUCGCCCCACUGUCCACGGCGCCCGUGGCUCGCGAGCAGUCCGCGGCUGGCGAGCAGUCCGCCGCAGGCCGGGAGGCCACUCCAGGAUGCCGGGCGGCCGAAGGUGCGCGACCGCCGUUGCCGGUCGUGGACUUCGGCAACACUCAGGAGGCGUACCGCAGUCGGCGCAGCUGGGAGCUGGCGCGCAGCCUGCUGGUGUUGCGCUUGUGCGCCUCACCUGCGCUGCUGGCGCACCACGAGCAGCUGCUCCAUCUCACCAGGAGACUUCUGGGGCAAAGGCUGUUUGACAAGCUGAUGAAGAUGACCUUCUAUGGGCAGUUUGUGGCUGGUGAGGACCAGGAGUCCAUCCGGCCCCUGAUCCAGCACAACAGGGCCUUUGGCGUGGGCUCCAUCCUGGACUACGGGGUGGAGGAGGAUCUGAGCCCCCAGGAGGCGGAGCACAAGGAGAUGGAGUCCUGUACAUCUGCUGUAGAGAGGGAGGGCAGUGGUACAAGUAAGAGGGAGAAGCAGUACCAGGCCCACCGGGCCUUUGGAGACCGCAGGGAUGGUGUCAUCAGUGCCCGCACCUACUUCUAUGCCAAUGAAGCCAAGUGUGACAGCCACAUGGAGACGUUCUUGCGCUGCAUUGAGGCUUCAGGCAGAGCCAGUGAUGAUGGCUUCUCAGCCAUCAAGCUCACCGCAUUGGGGAGACCCCAGUUUCUGCUGCAGUUCUCAGACGUGCUGACCAAGUGGAGACGAUUCUUUCACCAAAUGGCUGCAGAGCAAGGGAAGGCUGGGCUGGCUGCCAUGGACAUGAAGCUGGAGGUGGCAGUGCUACAGGAAAGUGUGGCAAAGAUGGGCAUCGCAUCCAGGACGGAGAUUGAGAGCUGGUUCACUGCGGAGACCUUGGGCGUGUCUGGCACUCUGGACCUACUGGACUGGAGCAGCCUCAUCGACAGCAGGACUGAGCUCUCUAAGCACCUGGUGGUCCCUAACAUGCAGACAGGACAGCUGGAGCCUCUCCUGUCACAGUUCACGGAGGAGGAAGAGCUGCAGAUGACGAGGAUGCUGCAAAGAAUGGACAUCCUGGCCAAGAAAGCCACCGAGGUGGGCGUGCGACUGAUGGUGGAUGCUGAGCAGACCUACUUCCAGCCAGCCAUCAGCCGCCUGACACUGGAAAUGCAGCGCAAGUUCAACAUAGAGAAGCCGCUCAUCUUCAACACAUACCAGUGCUACCUCAAGGACGCCUAUGACAACGUCACCCUGGAUGUGGAGCUGGCUCGCCGUGAGGGCUGGUGCUUUGGGGCCAAGCUGGUGCGGGGUGCAUAUAUGGCCCAGGAACGCGCCCGUGCCGCGGAGAUUGGCUAUGAGGACCCCAUUAACCCUACGUACGAGGCCACUCAUGCCAUGUAUCACAGGUGCCUCAAUUAUGUCCUGGAGGAGCUGAAGCACAAUGCCAAGGCCAAAGUGAUGGUGGCCUCUCACAAUGAGGACACAGUUCGCUUCACGCUGCGCAGAGGAAGUCAGGAGGCCUAGCUCAGAAGCCAGGUGGAGAACCUUGCCUGCUGGGAGAAGCUGCAGUCACAUGGCCUAGCGGGUGGAGAGGGGUCAGCAGCCACUUCCGCAGGAACCGUGUGAAUGUCCCCACCACUGCCAGUCAGGUGGGCAGCAACGUGGUGGCAGCCCUGCUCUCACAGGGUUCAUGUUCCAGUGAGGGACAGAGAUACUUAAACUGGAGACCGGGGCCACAUGGUAGAGACCAUGGCCUGCUUUAGAGUAGGUGGCCCCCACACUGGAGCCACUCUGACAGAAAGAGGGAGAGGACCUCUGGAGGAUGAUCCUCAUGUGGAGGGCCGGGGUGAGAUGUCCUCAAUGCUCUAGGAGUGAGGGGCCUGAGACAGUGAGAAGAGGGGGACCCUGGAGACAGGGAAGCACACUGUUGGCCUGCAGCCUGGGUGCGUGUGAGGAGGACCCAGGCUAAACAUGCCCUUGGAGGGAGGUGGAAGGAUGAGGACAGAUUCCAGAGCGCUGGUAAUUGAGUCUGGACAUGUGGAUACAGCAAGCUGGAGGUAAAAAUAUAAGAAUCCUCAGUAAGUAGACAUUGCAAACCUUGGAAAUUUUUCUAAGACCAUACAAGGGAGGUAUGAAGUCAGGAGAGGGUGCUGGGCACAGUUGGGGGUCAGGUGUUGGGCAGCACUAAGAGAAAUGUGAGCCACAUCUAUUCUAAAUGUUCUACUGGCCACAUAAGAGAUGACGUUAAUUUCAGUAAUACCUUUCAAUUAGGCCAACAUAUCCAAAAUAUUACCUAUAUUCAGUAUUUCAGAAAAACAAUACAUUCUUUUUUCCAGUUUUCAAAAUCCCAUGUGUGUUAGAUACUUCUAGCACAUCUCAGUUUAGACCAGUUGACUUUCAGAGACUCAGCAGGCACCAGUGGCUGGUGCUGCUGUAUGGGACAGAGCAGCCAGUAAGGGGAGGACAAGAGACCGGGUGGGACGGAGGGGAUGUGGCACUGAAGGAGAGGGGCUCAAAAAGGGGUUGGAGGAGGGUCUUUUGCUGGCUUACCCAGGCCGGGCUUUGGGGCAGGCCUGCCUCACUAGGUUAGGGCAGACGAGAAGGGAGAGGGAAGGGGCCAUGGGGAGCAAGCAUAGUGGGAGGGGGAGGCUGGCUGGGAGAGGAGCGAACUUGGUGGCCAUGACCUGAGGUGGGACUUGCAGGGCAGAUGCUUGGUCUGGGCAGCACAGAGCCUAAACCUAUGCCCCACCCUGCAGGGGAUGGAAGCUAAAGUGUAUGAAGAUCUGGGAGUGGAAGUGGAGGGUUCAGAGCUAGCUCAAGUUGCCCUGGGGGCUCACCUGCCAUCUUGUCUGUCUACAGGAUGGAGGAGCUGGGCCUGCACCCUGCUGACCGUCAGGUGUACUUUGGACAGCUACUGGGCAUGUGUGAUCAGAUCAGCUUCCCACUAGGUCAGGCGGGCUUUCCCGUGUACAAGUAUGUACCCUAUGGCCCUGUGAUGGAAGUGCUGCC